rnacentral:rRNA from 1 species
AUUGAACGCUGGCGGCAGGCCUAACCCAUGCAAGUCGAGCGAGCGGCGGACGGGUGAGUAAUGUAUGGGGAUCUGCCCGAUAGAGGGGGAUAACUACUGGAAACGGUGGCUAAUACCGCAUACUAUCGGAUGAACCCAGAUGGGAUUAGCUAGUAGGUGGGGUACCUGCUCACCUCGGCGACGAUCUCUAGCUGGUCUGAGAGGAUGAUCAGCCACACUGGGACUGAGACACGGCCCAGACUCCUACGGGAGGCAGCAGUGGGGAAUAUUGCACAAUGGGCGCAAGCCUGAUGCAGCCAUGCCGCGUGUAUGAAGAAGGCCUUAGGGUUGUAAAGUACUGUCAGCGGGGAGGCGUUACCCGCAGAAGAAGCACCGGCUAACUCCGUGACAGCAGCCGCGGUAAUAC